UACGUAGGGGCCUAGCGUUGUCCGGAUUUAUUGGGCGUAAAGAGCUCGUAGGCGGUUUGGUGAGUCGGGUGUGAAAUCUCCACGCUCAACGUGGAGGGGCCACCCGAUACUGCCAUGACUAGAGUCCGGUAGGGGAGUGUGGAAUUCCUGGUGUAGCGGUGAAAUGCGCAGAUAUCAGGAGGAACACCGGUGGCGAAGGCGGGUCUCUGGGCCGUAACUGACGCUGAGGAGCGAAAGCGUGGGGAGCGAACAGG
rnacentral:rRNA from 1 species